rnacentral:rRNA from 1 species
GGUUAAGCGACUAAGCGUACACGGUGGAUGCCCUGGCAGUCAGAGGCGAUGAAGGACGUGCUAAUCUGCGAUAAGCGUCGGUAAGGUGAUAUGAACCGUUAUAACCGGCGAUUUCCGAAUGGGGAAACCCAGUGUGUUUCGACACACUAUCAUUAACUGAAUCCAUAGGUUAAUGAGGCGAACCGGGGGAACUGAAACAUCUAAGUACCCCGAGGAAAAGAAAUCAACCGAGAUUCCCCCAGUAGCGGCGAGCGAACGGGGAGGAGCCCAGAGCCUGAAUCAGUGUGUGUGUUAGUGGAAGCGUCUGGAAAGGCGCGCGAUACAGGGUGACAGCCCCGUACACAAAAAUGCACAUACUGUGAGCUCGAUGAGUAGGGCGGGACACGUGGUAUCCUGUCUGAAUAUGGGGGGACCAUCCUCCAAGGCUAAAUACUCCUGACUGACCGAUAGUGAACCAGUACCGUGAGGGAAAGGCGAAAAGAACCCCGGCGAGGGGAGUGAAAAAGAACCUGAAACCGUGUACGUACAAGCAGUGGGAGCACAGAGCAAUCUGUGUGACUGCGUACCUUUUGUAUAAUGGGUCAGCGACUUAUAUUCUGUAGCAAGGUUAACCGAAUAGGGGAGCCGAAGGGAAACCGAGUCUUAACUGGGCGUUAAGUUGCAGGGUAUAGACCCGAAACCCGGUGAUCUAGCCAUGGGCAGGUUGAAGGUUGGGUAACACUAACUGGAGGACCGAACCGACUAAUGUUGAAAAAUUAGCGGAUGACUUGUGGCUGGGGGUGAAAGGCCAAUCAAACCGGGAGAUAGCUGGUUCUCCCCGAAAGCUAUUUAGGUAGCGCCUCGUGAAUUCAUCUCCGGGGGUAGAGCACUGUUUCGGCAAGGGGGUCAUCCCGACUUACCAACCCGAUGCAAACUGCGAAUACCGGAGAAUGUUAUCACGGGAGACACACGGCGGGUGCUAACGUCCGUCGUGAAGAGGGAAACAACCCAGACCGCCAGCUAAGGUCCCAAAGUCAUGGUUAAGUGGGAAACGAUGUGGGAAGGCCCAGACAGCCAGGAUGUUGGCUUAGAAGCAGCCAUCAUUUAAAGAAAGCGUAAUAGCUCACUGGUCGAGUCGGCCUGCGCGGAAGAUGUAACGGGGCUAAACCAUGCACCGAAGCUGCGGCAGCGACACUGUGUGUUGUUGGGUAGGGGAGCGUUCUGUAAGCCUGUGAAGGUGUACUGUGAGGUAUGCUGGAGGUAUCAGAAGUGCGAAUGCUGACAUAAGUAACGAUAAAGUGGGUGAAAAGCCCGCUCGCCGGAAGACCAAGGGUUCCUGUCCAACGUUAAUCGGGGCAGGGUGAGUCGACCCCUAAGGCGAGGCCGAAAGGCGUAGUCGAUGGGAAACAGGUUAAUAUUCCUGUACUUGGUGUUACUGCGAAGGGGGACGGAGAAGGCUAUGUUGGCCGGGCGACGGUUGUCCCGGUUUAAGCGUGUAGGCUGGUUUUCCAGGCAAAUCCGGAAAAUCAAGGCUGAGGCGUGAUGACGAGGCACUACGGUGCUGAAGCAACAAAUGCCCUGCUUCCAGGAAAAGCCUCUAAGCAUCAGGUAACAUCAAAUCGUACCCCAAACCGACACAGGUGGUCAGGUAGAGAAUACCAAGGCGCUUGAGAGAACUCGGGUGAAGGAACUAGGCAAAAUGGUGCCGUAACUUCGGGAGAAGGCACGCUGAUAUGUAGGUGAAGUCCCUCGCGGAUGGAGCUGAAAUCAGUCGAAGAUACCAGCUGGCUGCAACUGUUUAUUAAAAACACAGCACUGUGCAAACACGAAAGUGGACGUAUACGGUGUGACGCCUGCCCGGUGCCGGAAGGUUAAUUGAUGGGGUCAGCGCAAGCGAAGCUCUUGAUCGAAGCCCCGGUAAACGGCGGCCGUAACUAUAACGGUCCUAAGGUAGCGAAAUUCCUUGUCGGGUAAGUUCCGACCUGCACGAAUGGCGUAAUGAUGGCCAGGCUGUCUCCACCCGAGACUCAGUGAAAUUGAACUCGCUGUGAAGAUGCAGUGUACCCGCGGCAAGACGGAAAGACCCCGUGAACCUUUACUAUAGCUUGACACUGAACAUUGAGCCUUGAUGUGUAGGAUAGGUGGGAGGCUUUGAAGUGUGGACGCCAGUCUGCAUGGAGCCGACCUUGAAAUACCACCCUUUAAUGUUUGAUGUUCUAACGUUGACCCGUAAUCCGGGUUGCGGACAGUGUCUGGUGGGUAGUUUGACUGGGGCGGUCUCCUCCUAAAGAGUAACGGAGGAGCACGAAGGUUGGCUAAUCCUGGUCGGACAUCAGGAGGUUAGUGCAAUGGCAUAAGCCAGCUUGACUGCGAGCGUGACGGCGCGAGCAGGUGCGAAAGCAGGUCAUAGUGAUCCGGUGGUUCUGAAUGGAAGGGCCAUCGCUCAACGGAUAAAAGGUACUCCGGGGAUAACAGGCUGAUACCGCCCAAGAGUUCAUAUCGACGGCGGUGUUUGGCACCUCGAUGUCGGCUCAUCACAUCCUGGGGCUGAAGUAGGUCCCAAGGGUAUGGCUGUUCGCCAUUUAAAGUGGUACGCGAGCUGGGUUUAGAACGUCGUGAGACAGUUCGGUCCCUAUCUGCCGUGGGCGCUGGAGAACUGAGGGGGGCUGCUCCUAGUACGAGAGGACCGGAGUGGACGCAUCACUGGUGUUCGGGUUGUCAUGCCAAUGGCACUGCCCGGUAGCUAAAUGCGGAAGAGAUAAGUGCUGAAAGCAUCUAAGCACGAAACUUGCCCCGAGAUGAGUUCUCCCUGACUCCUUGAGAGUCCUGAAGGAACGUUGAAGACGACGACGUUGAUAGGCCGGGUGUGUAAGCGCAGCGAUGCGUUGAGCUAACCGGUACUAAUGAACCGUGAGGCUUAACCUU